AGGGGGUGUUCUUCUUCAUUAGAUAGUGAAAGUGCAGUUAAAUUAUCCUAUCCACGCCUUAUAGUUUUGCCAUUCAAAAAAAAAACCAAGCCACCUUCCAUAGGUGAAAUAGAAAUAAGAAGAAAAGGCCCGUGUCUGCUUCCGGGCCUUUUCUUUUCUUUUGUGGCUUCGGGACUGGCCCCGAAGUUAUUUCUACUCCGCAGUGACAUCGGUAAGCCUUGCUAAGGACCAUAGAGAAGCUCGUCAGGCCACCCCAUUCCGACGUUUGGCCACAGUCGUUACAAGACCCAAGACCGACGCAUUACCACUUCGUCACGAUCCGCCAUCGCGCCAAUCGGGUAGCAGGCCACCCCAGGCCGACAUAUUACCGCUUCGUCCCGAUCCGCCAUCGAGCCAAUCGGGUAGCAGGCCACCUCCAGACCGACGCUUUUCCGCCAUCGCACCACUCGGGUAGCAGGCCAAGCUUCUCCAUCGUCACCCGCCGCCAUCGCGCCUCGUAGCAGGCCCACGUAGACAAGCCGACUAGAACUUUCGUUUGCUGGCUGCCGUCGUGCCACGCAGGGUGUGGUCCCGCACCUCCGACCGGAAUUCCAUAAGACCACCAGCGAUCGCUGGCUGUUAUCGUGCAACACUGCAGGCGGAGUCGACAAUUCGCUGGAUGAACGUUGGACCACCGCCGUUCCCUGACCACCAUCGUGUCCUCCCGACCGCUGGCCCACACAGUCCGACACCCCAACGAUAAAACACCAGCUCGGCGGCCACCGUAGUGCCACAGUCGCAACAAUUACGAACCUCCAAGCCAGUCCGACAACGUCCUCCACCGCCAGUAAUCGCCGAUAUGCCAGCCACCAAUGCCACUACCAUCGUAGCCUUCGUCAUCCUCAGCAACAUCAACACGCGCAAGUACACCACUGAUUUGUCUCUCUCUCUCUAAAAUGCCAUAAGGGCGAAUAAAAUGUUAAUUAUGUAAGCAAAUUUUGGUGGUCAGGUCAUUUAGAAGACGCACUCCCUGAUGCUGUAUGAAUUGCUCCUUUGCUUGAUUCGUUACCGUACCUGAAAGGGGUAUUCAAGCCUUGGUCUUGGUAGUCCACAUUGAAGAUACCUUUACCUCGAUCGUUUUGUAGUCCACCUUGGUCAAUAGAACCGGUUGGCUGUUUUCUCCGCAAGGUUUUCCGCUUAAUUGCUCCUGCUUUAAGG